CAAUAGCGUAUAUUUAAGUUGUUGCAGUUAAAAAGCUCGUAGUUGGAUUUCGGAUGGGACUUGCCGGUCCGUCGUUUCGAUGUGCACUGGCCAGUCCUAUCUUGUUGUCGGGGACUAGCUCCUGGGCUUCACUGUCCGGGACUAGGAGCUGACGAGGUUACUUUGAGUAAAUUAGAGUGUUCAAAGCAAGCCUACGCUCUGAAUACAUUAGCAUGGAAUAACACGAUAGGACUCUGGCUUAUCUUGUUGGUCUGUGAGACCAGAGUAAUGAUUAAGAGGGACAGUCGGGGGCAUUCGUAUUUCAUUGUCAGAGGUGAAAUUCUUGGAUUUAUGAAAGACGAACUUCUGCGAAAGCAUUUGUCAAGGAUGUUUUCAUUAAC
rnacentral:rRNA from 1 species